rnacentral:rRNA from 1 species
UACGUAGGGUGCGAGCGUUGUCCGGAUUUAUUGGGCGUAAAGAGCUCGUAGGUGGUCUGUUGCGUCGGUUGUGAAAACCCGGGGCUUAACUCCGGGCCUGCAGUCGAUACGGGCAGACUAGAGUUCGGCAGGGGAGACUGGAAUUCCUGGUGUAGCGGUGAAAUGCGCAGAUAUCAGGAGGAACACCGGUGGCGAAGGCGGGCCUCUGGGCCGAUACUGACACUGAGGAGCGAAAGCGUGGGGAGCGAACAGG